rnacentral:pre_miRNA from 1 species
UUUGUAGUCCCUCCGUCCCAAAAUUCGUGUCUUAAAUUUGUCUAAAUACGGAUGUAUCUAGUUACAUUUUAGUGUUAGAUACAUCCGUAUCUAAACAAAUGUAAGACACGAAUUUUGGGACGGAGGGAAUACUAC